CCCCCAAAAGGGGCUUUUCACAGACGACCUGCACAGGCUGGUGGAUGAGUGGGUGCAGGACACAGCCCGGGCACAGGGAACCUCGUCGUGGGUCUCGACCCUUCGUGGCACCCGCGGGACCCCCCAAAAAUGGGGGGAGCUGCCCCCCCCCAAACCCAACCUCCCUCCGGGGGCUGAGUGAGGGGGGGCCCCAAAAACCACUGGGACCCCAAAAACCACUGCCCCCCCCCAUUGAAUCUCCCCCUUCCACCCCAACCCCCCCUGAUUUUGGGUCAUGUCCCCCCCCAUGGGCUCACCCCAAUAUUUGGCCCCAAAAUCACUUUGUUUCACUCCCAAAGCCCCUUGGUUUGACCCCCCCCGGAGGGUGACCCCAAAUUUCCAGCCCCCAAAUCACCUCAUUGCACCCCAAAACUCCCCCUUUUUUGGGGCCCAACUCCCUCCCAUGAUGCAACCUCUGCUUUUGGCCCAAAAUUGCCUUAUUUUGUCCCCAAAAUCCACCUUUUUUGCUCUUUCCAGGUUGAAUCCCCUUUUUUUGCCCCCAAAUCACCGUAUUUUAAGCUAUUUUUAGGUGACUCUCCGUUUUCACCCUCUCCCCCAAGUGACCCUACUUUCUGGUGCCCAAAAUCCCCUCAUUUCACCUCAAAACUCCCUUUUUUGGGGCCUUCCCCACUCUGCAUGAGGUGACUCCAAUUUUUAGCCCCCAAAUCACCUCAUUUCACCCCCAAACUCCCUUUUUUGUGGCCUUUUUCACCCUCCCUUGAUGUGACCCCACUUUUCACCCCCAAAAUUUCCUCGUUUCACCCCAAACCCCCUUUUUUGGGCCUAUCUCCCUUUUUUUACACCCCCCCCAUGACAUGAUCCCCCUUUUUACCUCCAAAAUUACAUUAUUUCACCUUAAAUGUUCCCUUUCCUUCCCUUCCCUCCCCCAUGAUGUGACCCCACUUUUUAGUCCCAAAAUCUUUGUUUCACCCCAAAACCCCUUUUUUGGAUCUGUUCCUGUCUUUGUCCCCACCACGAGUUGACCCCAAUUUUUAGCCCCCAAACGGCCUAAUUUUGCCCCAAAACACCAAGUUAAUCCCCAACCCUUCCCUCAUCCCCUCAUUUGUCCCCAAAUCCCUCAGUUUGCCCCCAGAGCCCCCAAACUCCCAUUUUUCACCUCAAACCCAAUCCCAGGCCUAGAAUCCCCCUUAAUGCAGCCACAGCAGAGGGGAACUGGCCCUACUGGUUUUACUGGUGACCAUCCCCCCCCUCACUGAUCGUACUGGUGCCACCGCCCCUCCCCCACCCCCCUCUCGCCCCACAGCCCAAUUUUGGGUCAUUUCUUGUGUUUUCCACUCAUCCCCCUUCCCCCUUCGGCGGCCAGUGAAAUGACGGGUGUUCCGCUUCGAGGGAGUGGGGAGGGCGUUUGACUGGGGAGGGGGAAGUUGUUAUAAAUUGUUAUAAAGCGUGAAAAAAGCC